UUUUUAUUAAUAAAAAUUUUUAUACCUAAGUAUUACGAGACUACAUAUAUAUUAGGUCUUAAAACUUAAAAGGUUUGGCGGUUUUACAGAUCCUUUUAGGGGAGCUUGUUAAUUAGUUUGAUAAUCCACAUUUUAAACUUACUUUUUUUUGAUAUAAAUAUAUAUAUAUAUAUUUACAGUUUGUAUAUUGCUGUCAUCAGUUUAUUCUUUAAGGGUUAAAAAACUUAUAAAUUUUUAUAUUUUUAUGUCAAGUCAUAAUGCAGUUGAUAGAAAAGGUUUAAUGAGCUACUUUUGUAAAUUUUUAUAGAUAUCAGAUAAUAAAAUUUAAUUUUGUUAAUAAGAUGGACUUAAUAGUAAAUUAUAAUUAGUAAGUAUAGUUGAAUAAUUGGUUUUGUAAAGUG
rnacentral:rRNA from 1 species